UUAACAGCCAAUUUUCAACAGUAAAAUACUGUUUUCAUGUUAAACAGUUUAGUACUGUAGUUAGCAAUGCAUUGUGGGCUGAUUAAAUUGGAGCAACAAGACAGAGGCCCUCAACAGUAAGUUGAUGUUUUAAAUUACAGGACAAUACAGUAUUUUCUCGAAAAUGCGUGUUGACUGGGGAAUUUGGAGCACGGUCAGAAGCUAAGAAAUGUUAGUCUUAUAAAUUGAAGCUAGCCUAUUACUUUUGGUCAAUUUUCUUUAAAAAAUACAGAUAUAAUUUGCCAUUAACUCCUGGAUGGAAUUUCGGGAACCAUUAUUUGGAUAGGAGAUUUUCCAGAAGAGGACGUACAAUUUAGAUGACGUGCUGCACAUCGUCAAGUGUUCUUCAUCAAAUUGAUCGGGUCUUGCAUCUACAAAUGAAACGGUGUCUGCCACUGCAGUUGAUGUUGAGACAACUCUCAGUCUUCCUGCAAGUCCUCGCCUGAUACCUGUUUUAAGGGCAUCACACCAACAUUUGCAAUUGGACUUGCUGCUAUGUUUGCAACCUACUACAUUUUCAGCCUUCAGUAUCAAGAUGAGACAGCCUGCCCUGUGGAAUUCAAAAUUAAUGUGUUUGCGCUUCAUUGAUAUAAAUCCAGAGAGAGGGACAAAUGCCAAAAUCAUCAAGCAAGG